rnacentral:lncRNA from 1 species
AUGACCAGGUGCAGCACUGAAGAUCUGAGACUGAGAUGGUUUCCCCCACUGCCAUUGUCUUUCAGGACCAUCCGAUUAAAGAAAAUGGUAUUAAAUACUGUGGACAACCCAAGAGAAGAAUUACAGAGGGAAAGUUUCUUAAAGAUGCCAUUGAGAAGACAACUAGAUGUAAGGAAAUCUAUGAUUUGUGGAAUAAAAAGGAACAUUAUAAGAAACUAUUAUUGUGAGAAGUCUUUUUUUCCCUUCUGA